rnacentral:rRNA from 1 species
CCUACGGGGUGCUGCAGUGGGGAAUAUUGCACAAUGGGGGGAACCCUGAUGCAGCGACGCCGCGUGAGUGAAGAAGUAUUUCGUUAUGUAAAGCUCUAUCAGCAGGGAAGAAGAUGACGGUACCUAACUAAUAAGCCCCGGCUAAGUACGUGCCAGCAUCCGCGGUAAUACUUAGGGGACAAGCGUUAUACGGAUUUACUGGGUGUAAAGGGAGCGUAGACGGCAGGGCAAGUCUGGAGUGAAAGCGCGGGGCACAACCCCGGGACUGCUGUUGAAACUGGCAUGCUAGAGUGCUGGAGAGGUAAGCGGAAUUCGUAGUGUAGCGGUGAAAUGCGUAGAUAUUACGAGGAACACCAGUGGCGAAGGCGGCUUACUGGACAGUAACUGACGUUGAGGCUCGAAAGCGUGGGGAGCAAACAGGAUUAGAUACCCUUGUAGUC